AGUGAACGCUGGCGGUAGGCCUAACACAUGCAAGUCGAACGGCAGCACAGUAAGAGCUUGCUCUUACGGGUGGCGAGUGGCGGACGGGUGAGGAAUACAUCGGAAUCUACUUUUUCGUGGGGGAUAACGUAGGGAAACUUACGCUAAUACCGCAUACGACCUACGGGUGAAAGCAGGGGAUCUUCGGACCUUGCGCGAUUGAAUGAGCCGAUGUCGGAUUAGCUAGUUGGCGGGGUAAAGGCCCACCAAGGCGACGAUCCGUAGCUGGUCUGAGAGGAUGAUCAGCCACACUGGAACUGAGACACGGUUCAGACUCCUACGGGAGGCAGCAGUGGGGAAUAUUGGACAAUGGGCGCAAGCCUGAUCCAGCCAUACCGCGUGGGUGAAGAAGGCCUUCGGGUUGUAAAGCCCUUUUGUUGGGAAAGAAAAGCAGCAGGUUAAUACCCCGCUGUUCUGACGGUACCCGAAGAAUAAGCACCGGCUAACUUCGUG
rnacentral:rRNA from 1 species